rnacentral:rRNA from 1 species
GACGAAGGUGGCGAGCGUUACUCGGAAUUACUAGGCGUAAAGCGUGAGCAGGCGGUUCGGUAAGUCCGUUGUGAAAGCCCCAGGCUCAACCUGGGGAGGCCAAUGGAUACUGCCGGACUUGAAUACGGGAGAGGUUACUGGAAUUCCUGGUGUAGCGGUGAAAUGCGUAGAUAUCAGGAGGAACACCGAAGGCGAAAGCAGGUAACUGGACCGUUAUUGACGCUGAGUCACGAAAGCCGGGGGAGCAAACAGG